rnacentral:rRNA from 1 species
CAACAUUAUUUAUGGCCCAAAGAAUUUGUUAUACAUUCUGAUCAUGAAUCUUUGAAACAUAUUAAAAGUCAAGCUAAACUAAAUCGUAGACAUGCUAAAUGGGUUGAAUUCAUUGAGACUUUCCCUUAUGUCAUUAAACACAAGAAGGGAAAAGAAAAUGUUAUUGCUGAUGCAUUGUCUCGUCGCUAUACUAUGCUUUCACAACUUGACUUCAAAAUAUUUGGUUUGGAGACCAUCAAAGAUCAAUAUGUGCAUGAUGCUGAUUUUAAAGAUGUAAUGCAGAAUUGUAAAGAAGGAAGAAUGUGGAACAAGUUUGUUGUUAACGAUGGAUUUGUGUUUCGUGUUAACAAGCUAUGUAUUCCA